GCCAUGUCACCGAAUUGUUGCGUCCAAUUGAUUUGGACCCAAAUAUGUUGACCCAAUUCGACAAGCCCAUCUCUUGGUUCAAGAACGGAGAUAGAGAUUACCGACUCUUCACCUUCAUCGUCCUUAUUGUCUCUGCAACGCCAAAGACGUUCACGUUCCGACUCCAGUCAUUUCUCUCUUCAUGCAAACUCAAUCGCCCAAAUAUAGCUUCAACCACACCAAACGAUUACGACGAAAUCUGAAAACCCAGACGGCAAGGCUCCGCUGAGCCGGCGAAUCUCACCAGGCUGAGUUACGCUUCCUUUUAAAAGACAAUUGUUCAGCCUCAGGGAUGCUAUCGGAGCUGUGAUUGAAGAUCUGGGUUUGAAUGGUAAGCUUAAGGAUCAGAGAUUAGGGUAUUCAGCUAAACUAACAAUCUCCUACAAACGAUCACUUGGGCAGAGAAAGUGUUUCUCUUCAGAUGGAAACGUUGAAGAAGAACCCAAUAGCAUCUACUGUCUACUAUCUAUACGUUCCAUAUUGUUCCAGAUCUUCAACUCUAGCAAACCAUGUUCAAAUUUGGUCAUCAGUGGGUUAAUAGCGAAAGGAAGAUAUCCAAUAGUGUGUUAAUGCAAGUGGAAGCCAUUUACUUAUGGAUGCAUCAGGGAAGGUUGACUGUAACAGUGUUAUGGUCCGUCCAGGGGACCAAAAAUUUGAAAGCUUGAUGAGAAGUAUGGGGGAAACAUACUGAAACGAGGGGAAACAUACUGAAACAAGUUCAGCGGUUGGGUUAGGUUCAAUGUUCCUAUCUCUCAUUGCAUCACAUACAUGUAUAAAAAUAUUCUCUAGAUUACUUGGAAGAUAAAUUAUUUGGAUUACCACAUUACUUGUGUAGUCUGUUUUGUUUUGAGAACUUUAAAUUACCACAAACAUUUCGCUGGAUUUAUUUGUUUUGCGCAAACCUGUGAACAGCUGUGACUUCUUUUGAUGCCGUCAAGAUUCGACCCAUGUAGUUUAAAUCAGUUAUACGCAUUGAGAUAUAGAACCAUUUCAGUCGUUCAUGCUACCAGAGGACUCAGAGAUGCGAUUGAGAAUUUCAAUCAUUAUUCAGAAGUUGGAGCUGGUGCUGGACAGAGUUACCUACCUUUGUGAAGUCUAUGCGUCCAAACUGACAACAAACUGCAGAAGUUAGCUUAGUGAGAUAUUGUGGUCAAAAGUAUCUAGAAACAAAAUCACCAAUCACUAAGAAGCAACACUAGAUUCUGAAGGAAGAUGUUAGGGAUUACUCUCGAUGUAAAGAAAAACAUGAUAAUUGAGGUUAGUAGAUGAAACAAUUUGUACUCAUCACUAUUGUAUUCUUUAUGCGGGUUGAUAUCGUUAAUUUUGAAGUAUCUCAAGAAACGAACACACCAAAAAGGUCUUUUAUGUCUACUCUUUAUACAGUUUUUCUGUUUGUGGCUCAGAGAUAAUCAAAGCUAUGUAUCAUGAACAGAGAAGAGUUGAAGAUUUUCUGGAAGGUGGGGCGUUUUGGGUUUGAGUUUAUCUUACGUCUGAUGGUUUACUGUAUUCGAUCUUCAUGAUGUCUAAACUGAAGACAUGUGUCCUGCAAGCAUUACAAAGAGAGCGAAAACUUUAAAGCUAACGACACCAUGGCAGACACAAAACAGAGUUGGGACUGUAUCUGUACAACAGAGGCCUAAUUUAGCCAAAUAAAAUUAAAAGCAUGGAAUAUACUCUCAUUA